rnacentral:rRNA from 1 species
GACGAACGCUGGCGGCGUGCUUAACACAUGCAAGUCGAACGAUGAACCCGGAGCUUGCUCCGGUGGAUUAGUGGCGAACGGGAGAGUAACACGAGAGUAACCUGCCCUUGACUCUGGGAUAACUGCGGGAAACUGUAGCUAAUACCGGAUACGACCCUCGGCGGCAUCACCAGGCGGUGGAACGCAUUUCGGUCAAGGAUGGACUCGCGGCCUAUCAGCUAGUUGGUGAGGUAACGGCUCACCAAGGCGACGACGGGUAGCCGGCCGGAGAGGGUGACCGGCCACACUGGGACUGAGACACGGCCCAGACUCCUACGGGAGGCAGCAGUGGGGAAUAUUGCACAAUGGGCGCAAGCCUGAUGCAGCAACGCCGCGUGAGGGAUGACGGCCUUCGGGUUGUAAACCUCUUUUAGUAGGGAAGAAGCGAAAGUGACGGUACCUGCAGAAAAAGCACCGGCUAACUACGUGCCAGCAGCCGCUGUAA